rnacentral:rRNA from 1 species
UGACCUCAAAUCGGACGAAGAUACCCGCUGAACUUAAGCAUAUCAAUAAGCGGAGGA